GACCCCCGCCGCGGAGGCGGUGCGGGCCGUGGCGCGGCAGACCCGCGUCCCCGGGAGAACCGGAAAGGAACGGCGGGCGGCGCGGUUCGGGCCUUGCCCUCCCGUUGUGGCGAGAGCAGAGAGGGCCCUGCCAGCCCCCACCCUGAUCGCCCAGACCAUAUGUUCGACGAGAGAGUUGUUGCAACAAACCUGGUCUGCUCUCCUCCGACAUAAGCAAAUUCUCGAUAGGAGCGAACCCCCAGUGACAGAAGCACAAAGAUUCCUCUCAGCGCUGCCGCGGGGGCAGCUCAAGGCGAUCACCUACUGGAGGGCCCGACAGCUGGCAUGACAAUGCUCCGGGCCCGGCAGCGUGGGUGACAGUGCUCUGGGUUCCGGCGAAAGGCACCCGUCAGUGGAAGCACUGCGGGUCACGAAUGGGCGCUGUCCCCGUGUCACAGACCCGACCCAGCCCGGGGACCCCCAUGAGGCGUCGCUGAGCCCAAUGAGCUCCUCCCGCUGGAGGCCUCGCGGAGGUGAGGUCACUGAGCUGUAGCCCAAUGGCAGAGCGAGGCGGUGCAGAGGACGGCCG